AGUUUCUCCUUCUCCAGUGAUCAUCAGUUCAGCAACUUGGACAUUUGGUUCUCCCCGUCCCGCGUCUGCCUGAAGCUUCCACGCCGCCCUGCUGCCUGCACACGGGGCUUUUUACACGUGCGGCCGGCAGGGUCUAUGGGGCUGGAGGCGCUCACAUGUCCCCGCCAUCGGUGGGUCCCAGGACGCUGAGGCCACUGGCCUGGUCCAAACAGGGUCCCGUGAGCCUCUAGGUCAGUAGGAUGUACGGGUGUGGCCACCACCUCCUCUUCCUGGACUUCUGUUUUUAUUACAAUUUUUACAUCUGCUGAGAAAGACAGAAAGACAGAUACUGACCUGUCCCUUAACUGCUGAGCGAGCCACAAUCUGCCACCAUCACCUGCUCAGCAGCUGUGUGGCCAGACAAACUCCACCCAGGCCCUCGUGGCUGAGCCCAGAGGGCAGCUCAGCAGAGCAGCCUGGUGGCUGUGAGGCUGC
rnacentral:lncRNA from 1 species